GACCUUUGGAAGAGCAGGCAGUGUCCUUAACCUCCGAGCCAUCUCUCCAGCCCUAAGAGGCUUGCUGGUCAGCAAUCUCCAGUAACCUGCCUCUCUCUACCAACCACCCUUUCUACUAUAGCUGAGGUUCUUUCCACCAAACAGGAAAACAGCAUCACUUCACAUUUCUCAAAAAUACAUGAGUGCCUACAGCCGAGUAUGCUCAGCUAUAACAGAACUGUAAGACUUUAGUUCCUGUCAGCAUGAGACGGUAUUUUGCUGCUGUUGUUAAGGCAGGUCAAUGGAGCUCUUUCAGUUUCCUGUGACCUCUUCAAGCAUCAUCACCCUUUUAGAAGGAUUUCUUUACCUUGUAGUGGGUAGCCAUUUCAGCUUUGAUCUGGAAGUUCCAACCCCCAUUGAGGCUUUGGUAAUGGUCACACCUACAAGGUGGGACUGA